GAUGAAGAACGUAGCGAAAUGCGAUAAGUAAUGUGAAUUGCAGAAUUCAGUGAAUCAUCGAAUCUUUGAACGCACAUUGCGCCCGCCAGUAUUCUGGCGGGCAUGCCUGUUCGAGCGUCAUUUCAACCAUCAAGCCCCCGGCUUGUGUUGGGGACCUGCGGCUGCCGCAGGCCCUGAAAACCAGUGGCGGGCUCGCUAGUCACUCCGAGCGUAGUAAUACGUCUCGCUCAGGGCGUGCUGCGGGUUCCGGCCGUUAAAAAGCCUUAUUUACCCAAGGUUGACCUCGGAUCAGGUAGGAAGACCCGCUGAACUUAAGCAUAUCAAUAAGCGGAGGA
rnacentral:misc_RNA from 1 species